GCAGCGCUCAAAACCAAACUGGUGAGUUCACACCCCAUUCGGAGUCUAUCUGUUAAAGGUUUACCUAGAGUUUAGUACACCGUAUUUCUGUAAAGCAUCCAUGCAUGGAUAUAAUACCAACAGUUUUUGUUUUUGUAAUACAAAUAAGUCAAUAGAACGCAUAUGUUAUUCCGAGUUUGACUUCAAGGGGGCAGAAGUGAGAUUUGAACAUUCCUGCCAGUCGUGCACAAGAGGAAGAGACGCAAGAGCACGCAUCGUGUGAUGACUUUGGUAUGAUAUUGAUAAAGGAAGGAAUCCGGAGCCGAGAUGAACACGUUACGAACAUUUUUGCGCUUUUCGGGGGCCCAGAGUUUGUGUUGGAGUAAUGGCCCUCACUCAGCAAUAUCCAGAAGCAGUCAACAGCAAGGAGCCCUGAACACCAAAGAACAGGGAAACUGUGUUUUCCAGCAGCAACUCUGGCACUAUCAACAAGUCCGCACAGUCAAACGUGGGACAGAAUAUCAGCCGAAGAACAUCAAACGAAAGCGGACCCAUGGGUGGAUCAAAAGAAUUAGCACUCCAGGUGGGAUUGAAGUAAUCCUGCGCCGAAUGCUCAAAGGACGAAAAUCCCUGACACAUUGAGACUCUAAAUGGACAGUUGCUUUGAUUUACCUUUGACGUGAAUCUCCGUUGAAUUUCAGCUGGGCAGUAGUUUUCUAUUUAAAAAUGUCAAAUUAAAGAAAUCAAUGGACAAUGGCGCUGAAAGACUUCAUUGAAUGUUCUCUUUUAAAUUGCAAUUUAAUGGAUCUUAUCCAUCUUUAUAUUUUCAUUUGAUUCCAUUCAUUAAAGAGUUUACUGUUUGUUA